rnacentral:rRNA from 1 species
UAGGGAAUAUUGGGCAAUGGACGCAAGUCUGACCCAGCCAUGCCGCGUGCAGGAUGAAGGCCCUAUGGGUUGUAAACUGCUUUUUUACGGGAAGAAACACUCCGACGUGUCGGAGCUUGACGGUACCGUAAGAAUAAGGAUCGGCUAACUCCGUGCCAGCAGCCGCGGUAAUACGGAGGAUCCAAGCGUUGUCCGGAUUCAUUGGGUUUAAAGGGUGCGUAGGCGGGCUAUUAAGUCAGAGGUGAAAUCUUGCGGCUCAACCGUAAAAUUGCCUUUGAAACUGGUAGCCUUGAAUUCGGUCGAGGUGGAUGGAAUGUGUCAUGUAGCGGUGAAAUGCUUAGAUAUGACCCAGAACACCAAUUGCGAAGGCAGUUCACUAGACCGACAUUGACGCUGAGGCACGAAAGCGUGGGUAGCGAACAGG